rnacentral:sRNA from 1 species
AACGAUUCGAACCUGCAGCAGGUUCGGGUCGAACGCAGUGAGACAACGGAGCCGCUUGCGGCGACGGCCCGAAGGGCGAGGCGAAGCCGAGUCAUCCUGCACGACCCACCA